rnacentral:lncRNA from 1 species
GUGGCAUUCUUGCAUGAUGCUGCUUUCAACAAAUUUGUCAUUUGUCAUGACAGAUUAUGUUACAACAUUUUUCUUGAAUGUUUUUUUUUUUUCCAUUGAGUGGGUAAAUGUCAUCAGAAACGUAAUAUUUCUAAAGCAUCUAAACCAUGCUUCGCACACGCACAUAGGAAAUUGAAUUCAACUUGACAUGACAAGUGGGCUUAAUCUUUAGUAUAGUAACAAAUACUGUAAUCCUUUGAAUCCAUAGGACCUUUCCACAACAAUAAAACACAAGACUAUCGGCCGACAUUAUAUUUCCUGUGUAAUUCGUUAAAUUGAAGUCGAACGCCUCGUGUUCGUUCCCAACCGGAAGUCUUAAUCUCCAAAUGGUUUAAACGUUAAUAUUGAUACGCAUUUACAACAAGGUUUGUUCUUGAGACUGACUGUUGGUAACCAAAGUUCGUGUUAUAUUUAUAGUUUGCUUUGCCUUUGUAAUAAGCUCUUUGAAAUGAUACCUGAAUGAUCUGGAGACAAUCAUAUAGACCAAUGGUUUGAUAGCAAAGUAAGUGUAAAAUAUAUAUUGAAUGAAAUUUUCGAUGAUUAUAUCCUUGAAAUUGUAAGUUGGAGUUUUAUCAUGUGUCAUCCGGAACAAAACUAGUAUCUUCGAGAUACAUCCUGGACCAAC